UACGAAGGGGGCUAGCGUUGCUCGGAAUCACUGGGCGUAAAGCGCACGUAGGCGGAUCUUUAAGUCAGGGGUGAAAUCCUGGAGCUCAACUCCAGAACUGCCUUUGAUACUGAGGAUCUUGAGUCCGGGAGAGGUGAGUGGAACUCCGAGUGUAGAGGUGAAAUUCGUAGAUAUUCGGAAGAACACCAGUGGCGAAGGCGGCUCACUGGCCCGGUACUGACGCUGAGACACGAAAGCGUGGGUAGCAAACAGG
rnacentral:rRNA from 1 species